UACAGAGGUGGCAAGCGUUGUUCGGAAUUACUGGGCGUAAAGGGCGCGUAGGCGGCCUUGUAAGUCCUGUGUGAAAUCCCCCGGCUCAACUGGGGAACUGCACAGGAGACUGCUUGGCUUGAGCUCGGGAGAGGGAAGCGGAAUUCCGGGUGUAGCGGUGAAAUGCGUAGAUAUCGGAAGGAACAUCAGUGGCGAAAGCGACUUCCUGGACCAGUACCGACGUUCAGGCACGAAAGCGUGGGGAGCAAACAGG
rnacentral:rRNA from 1 species